rnacentral:rRNA from 1 species
UACAGAGGGUGCGAGCGUUAAUCGGAAUUACUGGGCGUAAAGCGUGCGCAGGCGGUUGUGCAAGACAGAUGUGAAAUCCCCGGGCUCAACCUGGGAACUGCAUUUGUGACUGCACGGCUGGAGUGCGGCAGAGGGGGAUGGAAUUCCGCGUGUAGCAGUGAAAUGCGUAGAUAUGCGGAGGAACACCGAUGGCGAAGGCAAUCCCCUGGGCCUGCACUGACGCUCGAUGCACGAAAGCUGGGGAGCAAACAGG